ensembl:lncRNA
CACACUGGAAGUGAAAAUGCAUGUUGAGAUGUCUUUUGAAGGCAAGGCCAGUCCUCCCCUUUACUUCUAUAAACAGGGGAAGCUUCGUGGAGAUCCUGGGGGACUCUGACUUGCCAUCCUCGAGUCUUAUGGCCGUUGACAGCUCCACACUUGACAGGCAGCCCAGACGAGCUGCCACUGCACAUGGAGCCCCUCCCAAGAAGACGGGUCCUGCUGGGGUUUAAUCUCAGCGUGGCGGCCCAUUCUCCUGACAGGCUUUAAUUCUC